rnacentral:misc_RNA from 1 species
UAGCACCAUAGUUCAUGGAUUAACCUCAAAGACUUCAAUUUUACUAUAUAUGUGUUUGAUUGUACAAAAUGUUAGAUUAUGGUUCGAAGUCCCAAGAUCUGGAUGGGCAGCAAAAAAAAAGUUUGUAAGGUUGGAUGACUUUGAUUGCGGACUAACCUCAGCGUCAACACCGUAGCUGCAAAUAAAUGUGGCUUCAUCAUGGAAGCUUUAAGACAUUCUGGCCAUGCAACUAGCAGCCCGUCAAGGUCUUUUAAGAGAGGAAUGAGAAAAGGAUCUGAAGGACUAAAGUCGAUUGGUCGAUCACUUGGAUUUGGUGUCUCUAAGGCAGUAUUUCCUGAAGAUCUGAAAGUUUCAGAGAAGAAGAUUUUUGAUCCUCAAGAUAAAUUCCUUCUCUUGUGGAAUAAGCUGUUUGUUAUAUCAUGCAUUCUGGCCGUGUCUGUUGAUCCGUUGUUUUUCUACCUUCCAGUUUUCGAUGACAAGUCAAAUUGCCUUCAGAUUGAUCGAAAGCUAGCUGUGAUAGCCACAACUCUUCGUACCGUUGUCGAUGCUUUCUAUCUUAUUCACAUGGCACUUCAGUUUCGUACAGCUUAUAUUGCACCAUCCUCUCGAGUUUUUGGAAGGGGUGAACUAGUGAUAGAUCCUGGACAGAUUGCUAAAAGAUACUUGCGAUCCUAUUUUAUCAUCGAUCUUCUUGCUGUGGUUCCCUUGCCUCAGAUUGUAGCUGGGAGAUUCCUGCAGAGAUCGACAGGUUCUGAUGUUCUGGCUACCAAACAAGCUUUGCUCUAUAUCAUUUUGCUCCAGUAUAUCCCCAGAUUUGUCCGAGUUAUACCCUUAACGUCAGAAUUGAAA